CUCAGCUGUUUCGAAAAUGACAGAUCAGAAGUAAGUCAGGGGUGAGAAUAACUCUCUUAAGAGGCUAGAAGUAUAAAAUUACCACAACUAAACAUAUUCACAAAAACCAGAAAAUAAUUAUGCUCCAUUUCUACUUCCAAAAGAAGUCUGCUGCACUGGAAAGCCUUCUAAAUUUACAAAAAGUGUUUUUUAGUGUCUCAUUCUGACUGAGUAGAGCAAAAUAUCCUUCCCACAGCAAAAAGUAGAGAUCUGUCAUGGAUAUGGAGAAAUCAGAAUGAGUGGUCUUAAACCUCCUCAGCCAACAGAAUAAUCCGAAACAAAGAAAACCACCAAGUUUUGAGAGAAAGGAAAAUGGGCAACAAAAAAGGCAUCGACAUUCAGCACCACAUUUAUAGAGCCAGGCACCACAACUUGUUCCUAUAAUCCCACCUACUCAAGAGGCAGAGGCAGGAGGAUGACUUGAGGCCAGGAGUUCAAGACCAGCCUGAACAACAUAGUGAGACUACAUCUCCAAAAGUUCUCCUGUUUCAUCUCGAAGCUUAUCCAAACUCCGCUGUAUCUUAUGCUCCAGGAAUACAAACUGUUACCAGUUCUUUGAACAAACAUACCAGGUUGGUUCAUGCUUUGUGACCCCCACAUCGCUUCAUCAACCUGGUAAUGGUUUCCAAGUGUUUGGUAAAAACCUAUUCCAAGUGAACACUCAUAUGAAGCAUCACCUAAAAAUACAUUCCCAUCGUUCUCUCCCUGCCCCUUGCUUCUAGACUUGGUCUCCCACUGCUGUGCCUCAGUACACCCUCUGUGGGCUGCUACUAUCCAAUUUUAAAUAAAUAAUUGCAGUUUAUUGACA
rnacentral:lncRNA from 13 species